GGUACCCCACUAAGCCUAGCCGUAAAACAUUAUUUACCCCCUAACCGCCCGGGAAUUACGAGCCCAAGCUUAAAACCCAAAGGACUUGACGGUGUCCCACCCACCUAGAGGAGCCUGUUCUAUAAUCGAUUCCCCCCGAUCUACCUCACCAUUUCUAGCCUUUCAGCCUGUAUACCUCCGUCGUAAGCUUACCAUAUGAACGUUUCUCAGUGAGCUAAAAGAUUUCCUCAUAAAUACGUCAGGUCAAGGUGCAGCCCACGAAAUGGUAAGCAAUGGGCUACAAUUUCUAUCAUAGAACAUAACGAAAGACUACAUGCAACUUAGUCAUGAAGGCGGAUUUAGCAGUAAAAAGAAAAUAGAGAGUUCUUUUUAAUUAGGCGCUGGGACGCGUACACACCGCCCGUCACCCUCUUCAAACGCUUUAAAUAUGUUUAUAACACUUUUAUGCAUCACAGAAGAGGUAAGUCGUAACAUGGUAAGUGUACUGGAAAGUGCACUUGGAUUA
rnacentral:rRNA from 1 species